GAACACCCCAGUACAAGCCAAAAAAGCAGAGAUUCUCCCUCGUACCUUUUGCAUCAUGAUUUAGCAAGUAUACCCAAGCAAAAAGUAUUUUAGUUUGACCCCCCGAAACCAAGUGAGCUACUCCAAGACAACCUAUCAUUUAGGGUAAACCCGUCUCUGUGGCAAAAGAGUGGGAAGAGCUUCGAGUAGAGGUGACAGACCUAUCGAACUUGGUAAUAGCUGGUUGCUUGAAAAACGAAUAGAAGUUCUGCCUCUUAUAUUCUCCCCCCGCUCUGGCCAUUUAAGCCUCCCUGCAGGUAAAAGAAGAUAAGAAAGUUAGUCAAAGGGGGUACAGCCCCUUUGAAACAAGAUACAACUUUUCUAGGAGGGUAAAGAUCAUAAUCUUUAAGGUAACUAUGUUUUGGUGGGCCUAAAAGCAGCCAUCCCAUUAGAAAGCGUUAAAGCUCUAACAUAUUCCUUCCCUCGAUCCCGAUAAUAAAUCUUAACCCCCUUACCAUAUCAAGCCGUCCCAUAGUGACAUGGGAGUGAUUAUGCUAAAAUGAGUAACCAGAGAGUAUAUACCUCUCUCCCUGCACACGUGUAAAUCGGAACGGACCCUCCACCGAAAUUUAACGGCCCCAAAUAACAGCGGGCACUGAAUGACAAACAACAAACAAGAAAAUCAUUCAAAACACUGCCGUUAACCCCACACUGGUGUUCUUCAAAGGAAAGACCAAAAGGAAAAGAAGGAACUCGGCAAACACCUCAAAGCCUCGCCUGUUUACCAAAAACAUCGCCUCUUGUUAACCACACAUAAGAGGUCCCGCCUGCCCUGUGACCCCUGUUCAACGGCCGCGGUAUUUUGACCGUGCAAAGGUAGCGCAAUCACUUGUCCCUUAAAUGAGGACCUGUAUGAAUGGCACGACGAGGGCUUAACUGUCUCCUUUCCCCGGUCAAUGAAAUUGAUCUUCCCGUGCAGAAGCGGGAAUAUUAACAUAAGACGAGAAGACCCUAUGGAGCUUUAGACUUUGGAACAGAUCAUGUCAGUUACCUCCUUAAACAAGUAAUAACCAUUGAACCUCUGCCUCCUGUCUUUGGUUGGGGCGACCACGGGGAAGAAAAAAACCCCCACGUGGACUGAGAGCACACUUCUCUCACAACCAUGAGCCACAGCUCUAAUGCACAGAAUUUCUGACCAUAAGAUCCGGCAAAGCCGAUCAACGAACCGAGUUACCCUAGGGAUAACAGCGCAAUCCCCUUUAAGAGUCCAUAUCGACAAGGGGGUUUACGACCUCGAUGUUGGAUCAAGACAUCCUAAUGGUGCAGCCGCUAUUAAGGGUUCGUUUGUUCAACGAUUAAAGUCUU
rnacentral:rRNA from 1 species